rnacentral:rRNA from 1 species
UACAGAGGUCUCAAGCGUUGUUCGGAUUCAUUGGGCGUAAAGGGUGCGUAGGUGGUUCGGUAAGUCGGAUGUGAAAUCUCCAGGCUCAACCUGGAGGGGUCAUUCGAUACUGCCGUGACUAGAGGUCGGUAGGGGAGUGUGGAAUUCCUGGUGGAGCGGUGAAAUGCGCAGAUAUCAGGAGGAACACCCGUAGCGAAGGCGGCACUCUGGGCCGAUACUGACACUGAGGAGCGAAAGCGUGGGGAGCGAACAGG